CGAGUCCCGCCUCCCGCCAGCGGGGGCGAGAACCUGCGACGCGCACCCCUGCCUGGCCCGGUCUCCUCAGCACCAGCCCCAUGCACACCCGACUUCCUCAGCUUCUCGCCCUCACCCUGCCAACUUCCCUGCGAGGAGGAACCUGCCGCCAGCCUGCUUCCUCGUCCGCAGGCCCUACUCUGAACGCUGCCGCUUCCAGGGUUCACCUUGUGCCGUCGGGAAAGCCCAUGAACUCUCCAGAAACGGCGUAAAGGAGGGUCCCGCCGCGGCGCACGGCUGGGGCGCCUGGGUUCCCCCUGGGUAGAGCAGCGGCAGCAGAGCGGGAAAGUGGUGGAGGAUGAUCUUGCGGCCAAAGGGGACCUCGGCGCAGUAAUGUCAACAUGAUGUUUCGCUCAGAUCGAAUGUGGAGCUGCCAUUGGAAAUGGAAGCCCAGUCCUCUCCUGUUCUUAUUUGCUUUAUAUAUCAUGUGUGUUCCUCACUCAGUGUGGGGAUGUGCCAACUGCCGAGUGGUUUUGUCCAACCCUUCUGGGACUUUUACUUCUCCAUGCUACCCUAACGACUACCCGAACAGCCAGGCUUGCGUGUGGACGCUCCGAGCCCCCACCGGUUAUAUCAUUCAGAUAACAUUUAACGACUUUGACAUUGAAGAAGCUCCCAAUUGCAUUUAUGACUCAUUAUCCCUUGAUAAUGGAGAGAGCCAGACUAAAUUUUGUGGAGCAACUGCCAAAGGCCUAUCAUUUAACUCAAGUGCGAAUGAGAUGCAUGUGUCCUUUUCAAGUGACUUUAGCAUCCAGAAGAAAGGUUUCAAUGCCAGCUACAUCAGAGUUGCCGUGUCCUUAAGGAAUCAAAAGGUCAUUUUACCCCAGACAUCAGAUGCUUACCAGGUAUCUGUUGCAAAAAGCAUCUCCAUUCCAGAACUCAGUGCUUUCACACUCUGCUUUGAAGCAACCAAAGUUGGCCAUGAAGACAGUGAUUGGACAGCUUUCUCCUACUCAAAUGCAUCCUUCACACAAUUGCUCAGUUUUGGAAAGGCCAAGAGUGGCUACUUUCUAUCCAUUUCUGAUUCAAAAUGUUUGCUGAACAAUGCAUUACCUGUCAAGGAAAAAGAAGACAUUUUUGCAGAAAGCUUUGAGCAGCUCUGCCUUGUUUGGAAUAAUUCUUUGGGCUCUAUUGGUGUAAAUUUCAAAAGAAACUAUGAAACAGUUCCAUGUGAUUCUACCGUUAGUAAAGUUAUUCCUGGGAAUGGGAAAUUGUUGUUGGGCUCCAAUCAAAAUGAAAUUGUCUCUCUAAAAGGGGACAUUUAUAACUUUCGACUUUGGAAUUUUACCAUGAAUGCCAAAAUCCUCUCCAACCUCAGCUGUAAUGUGAAAGGGAAUGUAGUCGACUGGCAAAAUGACUUCUGGAAUAUCCCAAACCUAGCUCUGAAAGCUGAAAGCAACCUAAGCUGUGGUGAGUUUGUAGCGUAUUCCUUUUUUUUUUUUUUUAGCAUUAUUCUAUGAAUAUGAUUGUCAACAAAGAAUUAUACAUAAACACAAAUGUAUGUGUAUGUAUAUUCACACGUAUAGACAUAUAUAUAUGUUGUCAUUAAAAAGCUCUUAAUUUUU
rnacentral:sRNA from 1 species